UACAGAGGUCCCAAGCGUUGUUCGGAUUCACUGGGCGUAAAGGGUGCGUAGGCGGUCGUGCAAGUCGGAUGUGAAAUCUCAGGGCUCAACCCUGAAACUGCAUUCGAUACUGCGCGGCUAGAGUGCUGGAGGGGAGACUGGAAUUUACGGUGUAGCAGUGAAAUGCGUAGAUAUCGUAAGGAAGACCAGUGGCGAAGGCGAGUCUCUGGACAGCAACUGACGCUGAGGCACGAAGGCCAGGGGAGCAAACGGG
rnacentral:rRNA from 1 species